UGGCAGGACGAUUUCCAGAGAUGGAUCUCUUCGACUUCCGGUGACCUGCACACAGGUGCUGCAUGGCUGUCGUCAGCUCGUGUCGUGAGAUGUUGGGUUAAGUCCCGCAACGAGCGCAACCCUCGCCCCUAGUUGCCAUCAUUUAGUUGGGCACGUCUAAGGGGACUGCCGGUGAUAAGCCGGAGGAAGGUGGGGAUGGACGUCAAGUCUUCAUGGCCCUUACGGGUUGGGCUACACACGUGCUACAAUGGCGGUGACAGAGGGCAGCCACUUCGCGAGAAGGAGCUAAUCCCUAAAAGCCGUCUCAGUUCGGAAUUGCACUCUGCAACUCGAGUGCAUGAAGUCGGAAUCGCUAGUAAUCGCAGAUCAGCACGCUGCGGUGAAUACGUUCCCGGGCCUU
rnacentral:rRNA from 1 species